rnacentral:piRNA from 1 species
UGUGUAAAAAUUGGCCCUGGGACACGU